CAUCGUAGGGAGCUGCUUCCCACAGCCUUCCUGGUAGAGGAUACAGACUGAGCACAGACGAGGAAGGAGGAUGUCUGAAAGGGCAGACAUGAGGUGGUUUCCACUGGACAGGAGUAUGUGUGGAUUCCUGGAGGACUGGGACCUCAGGCACAAGGGAAAUUGCCUUGAAGAAAUGGAAGAUAUUUUCAGUGCCUGCAAAUGAUGGCUACAAAUGCCAAUGGGAUGACAGUAGCUGUCAGGGGCUAGGCAUGCACCAUGGGAAGCGGAGGGCCUCAGGGCGGG
rnacentral:lncRNA from 1 species